rnacentral:rRNA from 1 species
ACCAGGAUUAGAUACCCUAUUAUAAAAAUUUAAAUUAAUUUACUAAAAAAUUAAUAGUUAAGUUCUUUAAAUUUAAAAAAUUUGGCGGUAUUUUAGUCUUAUUAGAGGAACCUGUUUAUUAAUUGAUAAUCCACGAUUAAUUUUACUUAUUUUAAUUAAUUCAUAUAUCGCUGUCAUGAAUAUAUUAAAAAAUUUAUUUUCUUUUCUUAUUUUUAUAAUUUAUGUUAAGUCAAGAUGUGGUUUAUAAAUAAGAAUAUAAUGGGUUACAAUAAAUUUUAUUUUUGAAUUUUAAAUGAAAAUUAAAAUGAAAUUGGAUUUAAUAGUAAAUUUAUUUAUUUA